GCCUAAUGAUGGUCCUUCUGGUUGUUUUUUUUUUCGGAAAGAGGAGUCACCUUUUUGAUUGGGAAUGACGCAUAGUAAGAGUUUCUCUGAUUUUUAUAGUUGGAGAAUAAUAUCAGAUUAUGUAUCAUAUAGUUUGAGUAAUAUGUGGAGUAGUUGUUGUUGUUGGUUUUAUUUUUUUCUACCAUGGAAACCUUAAAGGUACAAUUCUGUAAUGAACUUCGUUUUGAUAUAAUGAGUUAGCUGAAGUAGUAAAUAAUUUAGCGCAAGUUUCUUGUCGUGAUAAUGUUAUGUAUUUCACUUUCAAAGCAUGAUUCCUUAGAAAUCGAAGGGUGGCGUCACCUACUCAAAAUUAAAUAUUCAAAUUACGGAAUCAAGAGAUGUUUGAUAGGCCACGUGAAAGUGAUGUUUGAAGAAAGUUCCUUUCAGCUGCACUGCAAAUAAUUCACCCAAUAGGAGUUAUGCCCAAGUAAGCCAAGUGCAUGCGUGGCCAAAAUUUCAACAGUGGAGAGCAAAGUCUCUUCCAACAUUGUUUUUGACGACAAUGCCAAGCAGCCAAAGAACAAUGGCAGUGGAGCGAGAGCCAGGAGAAAUUUCAAAGCGGUGAAAUUUCAAUUAUAAGAAUAUAAUUAAAAUAUUAUUGUUGAGAUCAAAAGAAAAGUAGACCGUUGAAGCUAGCUCGUCCCAGUCUUAUCUCUGUUUUAUCAUCGUCAAUGGCAGAAGCAACCAAGAGGUAUGCAAUGGUUACAGGAGCGAACAAAGGGAUUGGGUUUGAAAUUUGCAGG
rnacentral:misc_RNA from 1 species